UUGUUCUUCCGCCAGCGCCCAUCGUGAAGACCACAGUUUCCUGUCGCGUGGAUGUGUUUCCUCUCUGGCCAUUGCCAUCCGCCCAAAUCUACAGACAUCCCGCAUGUUCCCGGGCUCGUCUCCCCAAUACAGGGCACCAAGGCUGUAGACUGCGCAGCCCUCCUGGAGACAGAUGGAAGCUCCUUGGGUCGACAGAUUACAGCUUCUGGAACCCCCUACUCCCUUCAACUCCGAGAUGGACACCCACUGUCCAGGGAGAGGAUGCCUGGAAAUAACAGCUGGGAUCUACAGUGGCCAAAGAGUUGUCUCCGUCUUGCUACAUCGACAAACUGGUGCUCCUGAGUGAGGAUUGUGCCCUGGGAUGGGGGAUUCAGUUUCUUCAUUUAUAGUUGGAAGUGGGUGAAGCCACUUCGGAAGCGUUUUCCUCUCCACUCUGACAACAGGCAAGAGUGAGGGUCCAACAAUACAGAGGAAGUAACGUGUCGCUGCUACUCUUCCAUGCCCAGUGCCAGGAGCGACGGUACACUCCAGAGUGCUGUGCCCUGAUGGGCCUUUGAGUGGCCAGUGCAGUGGAUCAUCAGCCCUGUCUCCCAAGAGCUCCAGUCCCUUCUCCGGAGAGGAAGUGGGUCCACUGGCAGCUCAGGAGGCCAUAGCAGAUUGUGGGGCUCUGUGCAGUUGAUGUUAGUUAACCACUGGAUCCACGUGUUCACCGUGGCUUGCGCCCCUGCAUCCGAAAGUGAUCUUGGCUGCCGUGUCCUGGUCAUUGGUAGUGCAGGGAAAGGAUGCGGAAAGACGGGCUCCGAGCUCGGGGCGUCUGGCCUGGAGCUUUCCUACACUUGUGUCUUGCUCUGCAGCCUUACGGAAGUGUGGGUGGCGCUUUCUGGAAGCUGCACAAGAUUGUCACGUGUGCUCAACAGUCCUCCUCGGCUUUCCAGAAGAGGCUGGAACAGGGCCCUUGAAGAUGUUUGUGGACAUCAGAGGGCCAAAGACGACACAAAGUGAAACUGGAGACACCGCCCCCCCUUGGCAUCAUGAAACUGCCGAUGUUACUGGCUCAUGCAUGGGAGACACCAGCAUACAAAGUCUUGACACCAACACCUCAGAGGGCUGUGUUCUGUCCCCGUGACCAUCAUCUAGUGCCUGGAAAGACUAGUGACAAGAACUUGUUGCCAACUUCCUAUUACCUCCCUAACAGUUGUGCAAUAAACCCCAUAGGUUAAUUCAGUCUGCC
rnacentral:lncRNA from 1 species